AUGCAAUAACCAUCGACAGCUCAAAGAACUGAACUUUCAGAAUAGCGAAAGCGGAGAAGUAAGAAGCGGAGGGGAAAGAAUGAGGGAAACGGCGAUAAUGAACGCUAUGAGAUCUGGGGUGGUGGUGAUUGGAGCUGUAGCGUUUGGAUACUUGACUCUGCAGCUGGGUUUCAAGCCUUUUCUUGAAAGAGCAGAGGUACAGCAGCAAGCCCUUCUUCACCGAUCAGAGCCAUCAUCGUCCCAAGAACUCUCCGAUACUGAAUUGUUCUUCUCCGAUGAUUCCUCCCAGUCAGACCAAAACACCUUGUGAUUCUCGCACCCAAAGUUCAUUACUUUAUGGGAUUUUCCCAAUUUAUUUUUAUUUUUUUUCAGAUUGCUAGUUAAACUGAUGGGGUUAAUGUAAUACUUGUGAUUGUCUUCUUGGAAGUGUAAUGAUAUUCUGAGUUGCUUUUCUGCUUGAUGCUUUCUCACCUUAUUUUGUAUUGAUCUAUUUUCUUAUUAAUUCAAUUGAUUUCUUGCUAUUAUGUUGUCAUAGUCACUGCUUUAUUAUCUUAUUCAAUGCCUAAAAAUUUGAAUUUUUGGGUGAUUUUGUAAUGUUAGUAGGAUUUUUUUCAUGAAAUUCAUUAGUGGAAUGGUUAGAAAAAACAGUCUUUAUAGUUGAACCUAGAGGAAUUUUGUAGGUUUUUGUUGAUUUGAGUCGGUUAGAGUGACAAUGGCCUUCUUGGUUUGAGCCGAGUUAUGGGCAAUCUAAGUUAUUUUACCUCGUUGUGGUCCUUUGCCGACUAGAGUAUGGUCCUUUGUUGGCUAGGAUCACAAUGCGGCUUCACCUGCACCUUCAAGUAGUGGUUGUGGACUUUCCAAAAAUCAAAGGAAAGCUGGUUGAAGGCACUUUUCUGUAAUCUGGAGGGUUAAGGAAUUAGUGAUGCUUCUGAUUAGGACAUUAGUGUUUUUUUUUUUUUCAAUUUUUUGUGGAACUACUGUGAAGUUUUGGCUAUGCGAACAUUGUUAAUUCUUUGAAGCUGUGCAGGUUGCUGUAUUCAGUAUUCUAUAGUUUGUGGUGUUCUUUAUUUGGCUGUAUUGAGACUUGAGACCUGAGAAGUGAACAAAAGCUUAAGCAAAACAAUCUGCAUAUUUGGUGGGAGAAAAUUAAGAAGUGAAAAUGAUGUGAAAGCUUUUCAUGCAUGGAUGCAUCAAGUUCUUCCAUUGGUUUUCCCUUUUCAAUCCAGGACUGCUUGGUUGGGGAAAGAGAUCGAGCUUGCUCCGUAUAUUCUAUCAAUCAUAAACACAAGAAAUGGGCAAUGCUUAAUGGCAGAAAACGCAGAAAAAGGCAACAUUUAAACAGAUUAAACGCAGUUUGCAAUGUGUUGAGCUUCUCAAAGAUGGUGACAAAUGACAAUUGUACAAAUCAAAGUUAAAUGUGCUGUUUAUCAUUGUUGACAGCUUCCAAAAGUCAAAUCUAUAGGGCCAUGGGUGAAGAUUUCUAUGCUUUUAUUCUCUAUCAUUUUGACCAUUUCUAUACUGCUUUCUUACUUUGAA